UGCUUCCCUGGUCUUAGAAAAGGGGGAAAAAAUGUUUCCCACAAAGGCCAAUUGAAAGAUGUCACAUUAUCCCUGGGCCUUCCCCAUUGCUCAGAGUCAAUUGGCACCUCCAGGUCCUUGGUUUCCCUUGGUGACUGACUGGUGCAAGGGUACAUGUUAAUUGAGAGUGUAUGUCAUCCUACAUCAGGAAGUGAUGAAGUUUGAUGGUUAAGUUUUCCUCUGGUUCCUUGCCCUAGUACACUGAGUUUUAUCCAUCACAUCUGAAAAGCUAGUAUGAACCACAAAAUAGCUCUCAGGGGCUGCCUGGGAGUGGAAUCACAUCUCCUGCCUGUAGAGAAGUUGUCAAAGGAGAAGUUCUUCAUCUAAUUUGAGGUGACAAGUACGGAUGACAGAUUCUAACAGAAGCAUUCUUGACUCCAUAUGACUUUGUAAAGAUGCAAAAAUUUGCUCCUGCUCAUGUGUGCAUCAAUCUCUCCAUUCCUUGACUCAGCAGAUUUUCAAAAGCAAGAAUUUCCCUCUCCUUUACC